UUGAUAGAUCAUAAUGCCUGGAAUGGUUUAUGGUUAAAAUGAUUCGUCGCCAUAGGAUGGGACUGCGGCCUAUCAGCUUGUUGGUGAGGUAAUGGCCCACCAAGGCGAUAACAGGUACGGGCUCUGAGAGGAGAAGCCCGGAGAUGGGUACUGAGACAAGGACCCAGGCCCUAUGGGGCGCAGCAGGCGAGAAAACUUUGCAAUGUGCGAAAGCACGACAAGGUUAAUCCGAGUGAUUUCUGCUAAAGAGAUCUUUUGCUAGUCAUAAAACCACUAGUGAAUAAGGGGUGGGCAAGUUCUGGUGUCAGCCGCCGCGGUAAAACCAGCACCUCAAGUGGUCAGGAUGAUUAUUGGGCCUAAAGCAUCCGUAGCCGGCUCUGUAAGUUUUCGGUUAAAUCUAUGCGCUCAACGUAUGGGCUGCCGAAAAUACUGCAGAGAUAGGGAGUGGGAGAGGUAGACGGUACUCGGUAGGAAGGGGUAAAAUCCUUUGAUCUAUCGAUGACCACCUGUGGCGAAGGCGGUCUACCAGAACACGUUCGACGGUGAGGGAUGAAAGCUGGGGGAGCAAACCGGAUUAGAUACCCGGGUAGUCCCAGCUGUAAACGAUGC
rnacentral:rRNA from 1 species